GUGCUUACACAUGCAAGUCGAGCGAUGAAGCACCUUCGGGUGUGAAUUAGCGGCGAACGGGUGAGGAACACGUGAGAAAUCUGCCUUCAACUCUGGGAUAACUCCGUGAAAACGGGGCUAAUACCGGAUAUGAGAUCUACAGGCAUCUGUGGAUCUGGAAAGUUUUUCGGUUGAAGAUGAUCUCGCGGCCUAUCAGCUUGUUGGUGAGGUAAUGGCUCACCAAGGCGACGACGGGUAGCCGGCCUGAGAGGGCGACCGGCCACACUGGGACUGAGACACGGCCCAGACUCCUACGGGAGGCAGCAGUGGGGAAUAUUGGGCAAUGGAGGAAACUCUGACCCAGCGACGCCGCGUGCGGGAUGAAGGCCUUCGGGUUGUAAACCGCUUUCAGCAGGGAAGAAGCGAAAGUGACGGUACCUGCAGAAGAAGCACCGGCUAACUAUGUGCCAGCAGCCGCGGUAAUACAUAGGGUGCAAGCGUUGUCCGGAAUUAUUGGGCGUAAAGAGCUCGUAGGUGGUUCGUCACGUCGGAUGUGAAACUCUGGGGCUUAACCCCAGACCUGCAUUCGAUACGGGCGAGCUUGAGUAUGGUAGGGGAGUCUGGAAUUCCUGGUGUAGCGGUGGAAUGCGCAGAUAUCAGGAGGAACACCAAUGGCGAAGGCAGGACUCUGGGCCAUUACUGACACUGAGGAGCGAAAGCGUGGGGAGCGAACAGGAUUAGAUACCCUGGUAGUCCACGCCGUAAACGGUGGGCACUAGUUGUGGGGACCUUCCACGGUCUCUGCGACGCAGCUAACGCAUUAAGUGCCCCGCCUGGGGAGUACGAUCGCAAGAUUAAAACUCAAAUGAAUUGACG
rnacentral:rRNA from 1 species